GGGGAUUUAGCUCAGUGGCAUAAGCACCUGCCUUGCAAACAGGCGGUCGUAAAUUCAAUCCCUG
rnacentral:tRNA from 1 species